rnacentral:rRNA from 1 species
UAAACUAAACAUAUCAUGUUGAAAGCAUCGGUUUUCGUUCGAUCAGCGAAGUGAAGCAACGUUGAACCAAGUUAGUACUUAAAUGGGUGACGUUUUGUGAAACCUAGGAGCUAUAA